rnacentral:rRNA from 1 species
GACGAACGCUGGCGGCGUGCUUAACACAUGCAAGUCGAACGGAAAGGCCCUGCUUGCCGGGUACUCGAGUGGCGAACGGGUGAGUAACACGUGGGUGAUCUGCCCUGCACUUCGGGAUAAGCCUGGGAAACUGGGUCUAAUACCGGAUAGGAGCCAUUUUUAGUGUGAUGGUUGGAAAGUUUUUUCGGUGUAGGAUGAGCUCGCGGCCUAUCAGCUUGUUGGUGGGGUAAUGGCCUACCAAGGCGGCGACGGGUAGCCGGCCUGAGAGGGUGGACGGCCACAUUGGGACUGAGAGACGGCCCAGACUCCGACGGGAGGCAGCAGCGGGGAAUAUUGCACAAUGGGCGCAAGCCUGAUGCAGCGACGCCGCGUGGGGGAGGACGGCCUUCGGGUUGUAAACUCCUUUCGCUAGGGACGAAGCUUUUUGUGACGGUACCUAGAUAAGAAGCACCGGCUAACUACGUG